rnacentral:rRNA from 1 species
CACGUAGGGCGCGAGCGUUGUCCGGAAUUAUUGGGCGUAAAGAGCUCGUAGGCGGCCUGUUGCGUCCGCUGUGAAAGCCCGGGGCUUAACCCCGGGUCUGCAGUGGAUACGGGCAGGCUAGAGGUAGGUAGGGGAGAAUGGAAUUCCCGGUGUAGCGGUGAAAUGCGCAGAUAUCGGGAGGAACACCGGUGGCGAAGGCGGGUCUCUGGGCAGUAACUGACGCUGAGGAGCGAAAGCGUGGGGAGCGAACAGG